rnacentral:misc_RNA from 1 species
GAUGAAGAACGCAGCGAAAUGCGAUAAGUAAUGUGAAUUGCAGAAUUCAGUGAAUCAUCGAAUCUUUGAACGCACAUUGCGCCCCUUGGUAUUCCGAGGGGCAUGCCUGUUCGAGCGUCAUUACAACCCUCAAGCUCUGCUUGGUAUUGGGCGUCGUCCUCUUGCGGACGCGCCUCAAAGACCUCGGCGAUGGCGUCUAGCCAUCAAGCGUAGUAGAAUACACCUCGCUUUGGAGUGGUUGGCGUUGUCCGCCGGACGAACCUUCUGAAUUUUCUCAAGGUUGACCUCGGAUCAGGUAGGGAUACCCGCUGAACUUAAGCAUAUCAAUAAGCGGAGGA